GACAGUUGGCUGGCAGCUUACGGCCGAAAGGCUGAGGAAGGUCUCCCCACCCGCCCGCAAGGGCUAAAGCGUCUGGAAGGACGCGCCCAGAGAUGGGCCGUGGCGGAGCAGAAACGACACCUGCUGCGCACGUUAAGGAUGAUUACCCAGUAUGACUUGUGUGCAGGGGGAUGAAACGGCCGCCACGUGGGUGCAAGGCCAAAUGGCCGCUUAGUAGAAUGCUGCCUGAAAACAGAAGGGAGCCUAUAGCCAACUGUC
rnacentral:RNase_P_RNA from 1 species